rnacentral:rRNA from 1 species
CCUACGGGAGGCAGCAGUGGGGAAUAUUGGACAAUGGGCGAAAGCCUGAUCCAGCCAUGCCGCGUGUGUGAAGAAGGCCUUCGGGUUGUAAAGCACUUUCAGUGGGGAAGAAAGCCUUGGGGCUAAUACCCUCGAGGAAGGACAUCACCCACAGAAGAAGCACCGGCUAACUCCGUGCCAGCAGCCGCGGUAAUACGGAGGGUGCGAGCGUUAAUCGGAAUUACUGGGCGUAAAGCGCGCGUAGGCGGUCUGAUAAGCCGGUUGUGAAAGCCCCGGGCUCAACCUGGGAACGGCAUCCGGAACUGUCAGGCUAGAGUGCAGGAGAGGAAGGUAGAAUUCCCGGUGUAGCGGUGAAAUGCGUAGAGAUCGGGAGGAAUACCAGUGGCGAAGGUGGCCUUCUGGACUGACACUGACGCUGAGGUGCGAAAGCGUGGGUAGCAAACAGGAUUAGAUACCCGGGUAGUC